CAAUAGCGUAUAUUAAAGUUGUUGCAGUUAAAAAGCUCGUAGUUGGAUUUCUGGUCGGAAGCUCCUGUCCUCUGAUGAGCGUACAAGUGCGUCCUACCAUCCUUCUGUUAACCUUUAAGGCUUUCGCGGCUUUCUAGGGGCUCAGAUAUUUUACCUUGAGAAAAUUAGAGUGUUUCAGGCAGGCUAGCGCCGGAAUACAUUAGCAUGGAAUAAUGGAAUAGGACUUUUGCCUCUUCUGUUGGUCAUGAAGCUCGAGUAAUGAUUAAUAGGGAUAGUUGGGGGCAUUAGUACUUAACUGUCAGAGGUGAAAUUCUCGGAUUUGUUAAAGACUAACUUAUGCGAAAGCAUUUGCCAAGGAUGUUUUCAUUAA
rnacentral:rRNA from 1 species